GAUGUCUGCAUGUGGCCAAUCGUUUCAGGUGAGUCUUAGUCUGCCAUAUAACCAUCCUAAAAUGUGAUGCAGAUGAUGACUGCAUAGUUCAGCAGAAACUCCAUGUAGAACACAGAGCAAUGUCUUUCGCUCCUAGCUGAUGCAUCACCAUGCAAAAAUUGGUCUAUAUUUGAAGCUUAUUUGCUCUAAUGUCUAGUUUUUGUGUUGCAGAUUUUCUGACUUAAAAUGGAGAUGAAUGACCCGUCAUUAAAGUAGUCUUCAUGGUGAGUGCACAUUUAAAGUGUUGUAACCGAAGCAAAAGUGGUCUCAAGCUGAUGAGUGUGAAUCAGGUCUCUGAUCUCAUUGAGGACAUGGAAGCAUUUCUGAUUUAAGACUGAUUAGAAGUGAGCUUUACCACCUCAAGCUAGGUAGAUUUUAAUGGGUUGAAUCUUGUUUUAGGACUCCCAUCCAGUAUCUUCAUGACUGCCAUCCUUGUACAGUGGCCAGCUCUCCAUAGUGCAAUAUGAAGAAUGUUACUUGGAGGUGUCCAAAGGGCUUCAGCCUCUGCAGUUUUGAAAAGGGAUGAAGUUGAGUUCAUCUGGUUGACUUUUUGGGUGAAGUUUCAGUUGCCCCUCCCUUUGUUCAAAGGGCCUCAUCCUCUG
rnacentral:sRNA from 1 species